CAUCCUUUUGGAUGAGUUAUUUCAAUGAGUUGAAUACAAAUGAUUCUUCGAGUAGCAAGGAGAGGGCAAGUCUGGUGCCAGCAGCCGCGGUAAUUCCAGCUCUCCUAGUGUAUCUCGUUAUUGCUGCGGUUAAAAAGCUCGUAGUUGGAUCUAGGUUACGUGCUGCAGUUCGCAAUUUGCGUCAACUGUAGUCGUGACUUCUAAUUUGCUGGUUUGAGGUUGGGUUCGCCCUUCAACUGCCAGCAGGUUUACCUUGAAUAAAUCAGAGUGCUCAAAACAAGUGUUUGCUUGAAUAGCUCAUCAUGGAAUAAUGAAACAGGACUUCGGUUCUUUUUGUUGGUUCUAGAACUGAUUUAAUGGUUAAGAGGGACAAACCGGGGGCAUUCGUAUCAUUACGCGAGAGGUGAAAUUCGUGGACCGUAGUGAGACGCCCAACAGCGAAAGCAUUUGCCAAGAAUGUCUUCAUUAAUCAAGAACGAAAGUCAGAGGUUCGAAGGCGAUUAGAUACCGCCCUAGUUCUGACCGUAAACGAUGCCAUCUCGCGAUUCGGAGGGUUUUUGCCCUGCCGAGGAGCUAUCCGGAAACGAAAGUCUUUCGGUUCCGGGGGUAGUAUGGUUGCAAAGCUGAAACUUAAAGAAAUUGACGGAAGGGCACCACAAGGCGUGGAGCUUGCGGCUUAAUUUGACUCAACACGGGAAAACUCACCCGGUCCGGACACCAUUAGGACUGACAGAUUGAAAGCUCUUUCUCGAUUUGGUGGUUGGUGGUGCAUGGCCGUUCUUAGUUGGUGGAGUGAUUUGUCUGGUUUAUUCCGAUAACGAGCGAGACUCUAGCCUGCUAAAUAGUUGGCGAAUCUUCGGGUUCGUAUAACUUCUUAGAGGGAUAAGCGGUGUUUAGCCGCACGAGAUUGAGCGAUAACAGGUCUGUGAUGCCCUUAGAUGUCCGGGGCUGCACGCGUGCUACACUGGUGGACUCAGCGGGUUUUUCCUAUGCCGAAAGGUAUCGGUAAACCGUUGAAAUUCUUCCAUGUCCGGGAUAGGGUAUUGUAAUUAUUGCCCUUAAACGAGGAAUGCCUAGUAAGUGUGAGUCAUCAGCUCACGUUGAUUACGUCCCUGCCCUUUGUACACACCGCCCGUCGCUAUCCGGGACUGAACUGAUUCGAGAAGAGUGGGGACUGUCGCUUCGAGGUUUAACGACUUCGUUGUUGCGGAAACCAUUUUUAUCGCAUUGGUUUGAACCGGGUAAAAGUCGUAACAAGGUAGCUGUAGGUGAACCUGCAGCUG
rnacentral:rRNA from 2 species